GUGGGUNUCCAACUCCAGGCCAGGCAAUC
rnacentral:piRNA from 1 species